UACGUAGGUGGCAAGCGUUGUCCGGAUUUAUUGGGUUUAAAGGGUGCGUAGGCGGCCUUGUAAGUCAGUGGUGAAAUAUCCCGGCUUAACCGGGAGGGUGGCAUUGAUACUGCAGGGCUUGAGUAAAGUUGAGGUUGGCGGAAUUGACGGUGUAGCGGUGAAAUGCUUAGAUAUCGUCAAGAACACCGAUAGUGAAGACAGCUAACUAAGCUUUAACUGACGCUGAGGCACGAAAGUGUGGGGAUCAAACAGG
rnacentral:rRNA from 1 species